rnacentral:rRNA from 1 species
GCAAGUCGAACGGUAACGACAAAAACAAUCCCUUCGGGGUGCGAUUUUGCGUUACAAGUGGCGGACGGGUGAGUAAUGCUUAGGAAUCUGCCCAGUAGCGGGGGAUAGCUCGGAGAAAUCCGAAUUAAUACCGCAUACGCCCUACGGGGGAAAGCAGGGGAUUUUCGGACCUUGCACUAUCGGAUGAGCCUAAGUCAGAUUAGCUUGUUGGUGGGGUAAAAGCCUACCAAGGCGACGAUCUGUAGCUGGUCUGAGAGGACGAUCAGCCACACUGGGACUGAGACACGGCCCAGACUCCUACGGGAGGCAGCAGUGGGGAAUAUUGGACAAUGGGGGCAACCCUGAUCCAGCAAUGCCGCGUGUGUGAAGAAGGCCUGCGGGUUGUAAAGCACUUUCAGUAAGGAAGAAAUCCUCAGGGUUAAUACCCCUGUGGCUUGACAUUACUUACAGAAGAAGCACCGGCUAACUCCGUGCCAGCAGCCGCGGUAAUACGGAGGGUGCGAGCGUUAAUCGGAAUUACUGGGCGUAAAGCGCGCGUAGGUGGCUUGGUCAGUCGGAUGUGAAAGCCCCGGGCUUAACCUGGGAAUUGCAUUCGAUACUGCCUGGCUAGAGUAUGAUAGAGGAAAGUGGAAUUCCCGGUGUAGCGGUGAAAUGCGUAGAUAUCGGGAGGAACAUCAGUGGCGAAGGCGACUUUCUGGAUCAAUACUGACACUGAGGUGCGAAAGCGUGGGUAGCAAACAGGAUUAGAUACCCUGGUAGUCCACGCCCUAAACUAUGUCAACUAGCCGUUGGGUUCAUUUAAGGACUUAGUGGCGCAGCUAACGCGUUAAGUUGACCGCC